GUGUUAUAUAAAAGUAGAGAAGGUUAGCACUCCCCUGCCUAGGAUGGAAGAGGCCCUCAGGCCUGACAACACGCAUACAGUUGAUACCACCUACCUUGUGGCAUCUAACCAUUGUUUUAU